UUGGAUGAACAGGGAAUUAUGGAGAACAUAUUCCAUGCCAGCUAGUUUGGAGGAGUCUUCAUCAAUACAAUCUGAAGAUGAAGAGAAUGGAUCUAGUGAUUCAUCAGAGGACCAUGCGGAACAAUUGAGCAGUGAUGAUUUGAAGGCACUGCUAGCUGACUCGGAAAGAGAAAGGCUCGUUAAAAAUUUAAGUGAAGCCAAUCAACAUAAUAGGUUCCUUAAAAGACAGCUUCAUGCAAAAGAAGAUGAACUGGUUAAUUGGAAAAGUGAACUGGCUGUAAUGGAACUUGAAAUUCAGGCUUUAGUUACACUGGCAGAAGAAAUAGCCCAAUCUGGCAUUCCAGAAGGUUCAAGAAAGAUAAAUGGGAAAUACAUUCAAUCUCACCUCUGUUCACGUUUACAAGCUGUCCAUGAAAGAUUGAAGGAACAAAUAAAGGAUGUUGAUGCUGCACAAUCCAAGGAGGUUCACUUAUUCUGGUGUGGCAUGGCAGAGAGUGUACAAGUAAUGGGAUCCUUUGAUGGUUGGAGUCUAGGAGAGCACUUAUCACCAGAGUAUGAUGGUUCUUUUAACAGGUUUACGACAACAUUAAUGCUUAGACCUGGAAGGUAUGAGAUCAAGUUCUUGGUCGAUGGAGAGUGGCAACUGUCUCCAGAAUAUCCUACCGUUGGUGAGGGACCAACCGAAAAUAACUUGUUAGUUGUUGAGUGACUAGCGGUCUACAGAUCUUAUUACUGUGAAACAAUUUAAGAUUACCACUUCCUAGUAUGAGCUGCUUUCUCUUGAUGCAUUUCUAGUAGUAGCUUAUUAUAUGCUUUAUAGAUGCCUGUGAACUAGCAGACGAGUUUAAGUAUGCAAAACUGAAAAUUGUGUAAAUGUUUGGCAUAUAUAUGAAUAAGUUGAAGAAUUUUUUUUUAAAGCCAAAAAAAU
rnacentral:misc_RNA from 1 species